rnacentral:rRNA from 1 species
UACGUAGGGGGCUAGCGUUGUCCGGAUUUAUUGGGCGUAAAGAGCGUGUAGGCGGCCAGGUAGGUCAGCUGUGAAAACUCGAGGCUCAACCUCGAGACGUCGGUUGAAACCACCUGGCUAGAGUCCGGAAGAGGAGAGUGGAAUUCCUGGUGUAGCGGUGAAAUGCGCAGAUAUCAGGAAGAACACCCGUGGCUAAGGCGGCUCUCUAGUACGGUACUGACGCUGAGACGCGAAAGCGUGGGGAGCGAACAGG